rnacentral:rRNA from 1 species
AUUGAACGCUGGCGGAAUGCUUUACACAUGCAAGUCGAACGGUAGAGGGGGCAACCCCUUGAGAGUGGCGAACGGGUGAGUAAUAUAUCGGAACGUGCCCAGUCGUGGGGAUAACGUAGCGAAAGUUACGCUAAUACCGCAUACGAUCUACGGAUGAAAGCGGGGGACUCGCAAGAGCCUCGCGCGAUUGGAGCGGCCGAUAUCAGAUUAGGUAGUUGGUGAGGUAAAGGCUCACCAAGCCGACGAUCUGUAGCUGGUCUGAGAGGACGACCAGCCACACUGGGACUGAGACACGGCCCAGACUCCUACGGGAGGCAGCAGUGGGGAAUUUUGGACAAUGGGCGCAAGCCUGAUCCAGCAAUGCCGCGUGCAGGAUGAAGGCCU